rnacentral:lncRNA from 1 species
UACCUAACUUAUCUAGAAAUGGCUAUUGAAACACAAUGCACAAGGAAGUGAAGAAAAAGUACAAAAAUGGGGGGGCCCUCUCAUGAAAGUGUUUGCUGCACACAGUUCAUUGAAAUCCUAAUUCUAUUCUAUAUUACAAUUGAACUUGGCAUAGGAUUCCGCAAUGAUUAUGUUCAAGGCAUAGGCAGUGUCAGAUUGUGAGCCAUUUGAAGCAGAAAGAAGAAGUAAAAGAAGAGGGGAAAGCAUUGGUCAUGAUCCUUUUUCCCCACCCAUGUCAAUGCAGAUG